rnacentral:rRNA from 1 species
CGCGUAGGCGGCUUGGCAAGUCAGAUGUGAAAGCCCCGGGCUUAACCCGGGAAUUGCAUCUGAAACUGCUUUGCUUGAGUCCUGGAGGGGGUAGUGGAAUUCCCAGUGUAGCGGUGAAAUGCGUAGAUAUUGGGAGGAACACCUGCGGCGAAGGCGGCUACCUGGACAGUGACUGACGCUGAGGCGCGAAAGCUAGGGGGAGCGAACG